rnacentral:rRNA from 1 species
CCUCCCGAGUGCUUGCACUCAAUUGGAAAGAGGAGUGGCGGACGGGUGAGUAACACGUGGGUAACCUACCCAUCAGAGGGGGAUAACACUUGGAAACAGGUGCUAAUACCGCAUAACAGUUUAUGCCGCAUGGCAUAAGAGUGAAAGGCGCUUUCGGGUGUCGCUGACGGAUGGACCCGCGGUGCAUUAGCUAGUUGGUGAGGUAACGGCUCACCAAGGCCACGAUGCAUAGCCGACCUGAGAGGGUGAUCGGCCACACUGGGACUGAGACACGGCCCAGACUCCUACGGGAGGCAGCAGUAGGGAAUCUUCGGCAAUGGACGAAAGUCUGACCGAGCAACGCCGCGUGAGUGAAGAAGGUUUUCGGAUCGUAAAACUCUGUUGUUAGAGAAGAACAAGGACGUUAGUAACUGAACGUCCCCUGACGGUAUCUAACCAGAAAGCCACGGCUAACUACGUGCCAGCAGCCGCGGUAAUACGUAGGUGGCAAGCGUUGUCCGGAUUUAUUGGGCGUAAAGCGAGCGCAGGCGGUUUCUUAAGUCUGAUGUGAAAGCCCCCGGCUCAACCGGGGAGGGUCAUUGGAAACUGGGAGACUUGAGUGCAGAAGAGGAGAGUGGAAUUCCAUGUGUAGCGGUGAAAUGCGUAGAUAUAUGGAGGAACACCAGUGGCGAAGGCGGCUCUCUGGUCUGUAACUGACGCUGAGGCUCGAAAGCGUGGGGAGCAAACA